rnacentral:rRNA from 1 species
AUUGAACGCUGGCGGAAUGCUUUACACAUGCAAGUCGAACGGCAACACGGACUUCGGUCUGGUGGCGAGUGGCGAACGGGUGAGUAAUGUAUCGGAACGUGCCCAGUCGUGGGGGAUAACGUAGUGAAAAUUACGCUAAUACCGCAUACGAUCUAUGGAUGAAAGCGGGGGAUCGCAAGACCUCGCGCGAUUGGAGCGGCCGAUAUCAGAUUAGGUAGUUGGUGGGGUAAAGGCCCACCAAGCCAACGAUCUGUUGCUGGUCUGAGAGGACGACCAGCCACACUGGAACUGAGACACGGUCCAGACUCCUACGGGAGGCAGCAGUGGGGAAUUUUGGACAAUGGGCGAAAGCCUGAUCCAGCCAUUCCGCGUGCAGGAUGAGGGCCCUCGGGUUGUAAACUGCUUUUGUACAGAACGAAAAGGUUUCUACUAAUACUAGGAGCUCAUGACGGUACUGUAAGAAUAAGCACCGGCUAACUACGUGCCAGCCGCCGCAGUAA